GUGGCUAGAUAUGCAGAAAUCAGAAGGUGAAAAAGCUUUUGACAGUGUGGAGAUAUCACCUGUAAAGAUAAAGGUAUCCCAAUGAGCUAAAAAUGAAAAGGAAGCAGAAUAUAUUAUGAAAAGCCAAGCAAAUAUAUCCCUGGAUGCUUUGUUUGAAGAAAGUGUUCAGAAGACAGAAUUUGGAGGGUGUGCAUGUAUGCAGAUUUUGUGCAAACUUCCCAUCUCAGACUUCCAAAGCCACAGCAAAACAGUCUCAAACCCUCCGUUCAUUACCCUGGACCUGCACUGCCUCCUACCUCACACUGACUGCGUAGGCCACGUUCUUGCAGGCGAGACCAGAUGCUUUGGAUGCGGCCAGCAUGUUCAGGGUGGUUGCUGUUGUCCCCACACGAGCACUGGUGUUUCAACAUGACGGAGUCAUACACGAUGCCUGCAACGAAAAGAAAAGCAGCACCCAGGUCACUCACAAAGCUGCAACUCUCUCUGGGCUUGGUGAGCACUGGAAAACCAACUCGAGCAUACAGAAACCAUGUGGCACAGCUCUUCCAGAAUGCAGUAUGGACUGCAGGUGUGGAAUCAGGAACUGCAAUAUUUACUAAUGUAAAUAAACUCUCUGGUGGGGAA